rnacentral:lncRNA from 1 species
CAUUAUUCCACAGUAAUGUGAUCAACUUGCAUUCCUCAGUUGGGCAAACAUACAGGCUAGAAGAUUGAUGAAUGAAUAUUUUUAAUGCAAAUACUUCAUAAACUGUAACUUGUGCGGCAAAAGAAAAGAUGAGUAUGAUUCAGAGUAAUGACUCAGAGGAACCUCGAAAUAAUUUUUACAUUUUCUAACAAGUUAAAUGUGCUGUUCUCUGCAAGGAUCUUUACUGUUUUAUUAAAACUGCAACUUGAAUGCAUAAUCAAUGAAUGUAUGCCCUCCUUAUAAAAUACACAAUUCCUAUUCGAGUAGUUUAAUACAAAAAUCUCAUCUCUGCACAGAGCCCUGCUGUUCAGGACUGGGGAGAAGCUCUGUGAUGAGAAAAUGAAAACCUUUCUCCUGGUGUUUUGGCGAUAUAGAGAGGUGAAAAAAAAGCCUCCUGGUGUUUUUGAGCACCUCUUCUCUAAAGCUAAUGCAAGAGAAUAGGAACUGGCUCUUCUACCAUCUGAGAGGGUUCAAGGGGGUGGAGAUCGGCUGGGACAGGAGAUAUAGGAAGAUACUUUCUUCUCUGGAGCAUUUCUCUCUAAAUAUUGAUUGUUAUCCUAAACAUCUGCAACUCCGUUCACCUUUCUCUUGACAAGCAAAUCAGUGUUCUUUUGCCUUGAACGCUCUGCCGACUACGGUCACAGGCACAAGAAGGAAGAUGAGUCACUGCAAGCUUGACAUUAAAGAUGUGACUUUUUUAGCAUUUGGAUGCUUCCUUUUUUUAUUUCCAUUAAGUGCCUCCUUGGAAAGAGUGGCUUGUGACAUGGUAUUUAAUUAUUAAUGAUCAAUACAGCAGAACAGCUAUAGGUUGAGAGGAUACUGCCUGGCAUAAAGUGUUGACACUGAACUGUGUAUGUGGGAUAAACAAAGAGUGAAUUAUUUCUUUGGAAACAAGCCUGUUACACUUCUCAAAAGAAGACAUUUAUGCAGCCAACAGACAUAUGAAAAAAUGCUCAUCAUCACUGGUCAUUAGAGAAAUGCAAAUCAAAACCACAAUGAGAUACCGUGUCAGUCCAGUUAGAAUGGCAAUAAUUAAAAAGUCAGCAAACAACAGAUGCUGGAGAGGUUGUGGAAAAAUAGCGCUUUUACACUGUUGGUGGGAGUGUAAAUUAGUGUAAAUUAGUUCAACCAUUGUGGAAGACAGUGUGGCGAUUCCUCAGGGAUCUAGAACUAGAAAUACCAUUUGACCCAGCAAUCCCAUUACUAGGCAUAUACCCAAAGGAUUAUGAAUCAUUCUAUUGUGGUACUAUUCACAAUAGCAAAGACUUGGAAGCAACCCAACUGUCCAUCAAUGAUAGACUGGAUUAAGAAAAUGUGGCACAUAUACAUCAUGGAAUACUAUGCAGCCAUAAAAAAGGAUGAGUUCAGUCGGGUGCUGUGGCUCAUGCCUGUGAUUCCAGCACUUUGGGAGGCCGAGGUGGACAGAUCAUGAGUUCAGGAGAUUGAGACCAUCCUGGCUAACACGGUGAAACCCUGUCUCUAGUAAAAAAUACAAAAAAUUAACCGGUCAUGGUGGUGGGCACCUAUAGUCCCAGCUACGUGGGAGGCUGAGGCAGGAGAAUGGCAUGAACCCGGGAGGCGGAGCUUGCAGUGAGCCGAUAUUGAGCCACUGCAUUCCAACCUGGGUGACAGAGCGAGACUCUGUCUCAAAAAAAAAAAAGAUGAAUUAAUGUCCUUUGCAGGGACAUGGAUGAAGCUUGAAACCAUCAUUCUCAGCAAACUAUCUGGAUUAAGAAAAUAUGGCACAUACAUACCAUGGAAUACCAUGCAGCCAUAAAAAAGGAUGAGUUCAUGUCCUUUGCAGGGACAUAGAUGAAGCUGGAAACCAUCAUUCUCAGCAAACUAUCACAAGAUCAGAAAACCAAACACCACGUGUUCUCACUCAUAAAUGGGAGUUGAACAAUGAGAACACAUGGACACAGAGAGGGGACCAUCACACACCG